GUUCUUUGCGUACACCUGGUCACAAUAGUGUCUUCAAGCAUGAAUACAAAAGAAUGAAUUUUACCGACAAAGCUGAAACUGAAAGAAGAUGGCCUAUAAAGCUUGUAACAAAUGUUGGAAUUGGAGCAGCAAUAGAAUCAAUCAUCCUAUUCACAGAUAUAUUUAACAUUGCAAAUUAUGUGUCCAAGGGCGUCCUCUGUACAUCACUUGAGACUGAUCCCUCAAAUAAUUAGGGGGAAUUACACAGGACUUUUGAUGCAGGUGGAUAUUUUACCUUUGGAAUGAAGAAACUCUAUAUCUACUUGGACAUGCUAGUCAUCCAAAAUUUAUUCAGCACCCAUCCA